UACGUAGGGUGCAGGCGUUAAUCGGAUUUACUGGGCGUAAAGAGCGCGCAGGCGGUCGCUCAAGUCGCGUGUGAAAGCCCCCGGCUCAACUGGGGAGGGUCACGCGAUACUGAUCGACUCGAAGGCAGGAGAGGGUAGUGGAAUUCCCGGUGUAGUGGUGAAAUGCGUAGAUAUCGGGAGGAACACCAGUGGCGAAGGCGACUACCUGGCCUGUUCUUGACGCUGAGGCGCGAAAGCUAGGGGAGCAAACGGG
rnacentral:rRNA from 1 species